ACCAUACCACACACUGGAGUAGGGUAUUACACCACAACGGUGGCCCGAACCAGUAUAAACCUUGUGUCUCUUAUGUUGUUCAUCAUUUUCAUCUUAGUUCGCACGAGAGAAUCGGACGUAGAUCGGUAGGGGAGAGAUCUCCGCGCGCACCCCAGUGUUCGUACCUCAAGGGUCUGCCGGAACCCGAAAUCCGACAGUAGUCUAAAAUAACCAUUUCAAAUGAACUUUUUUAAUUGAUAUUCAGAGCAUCAACAUGGUGGACUAGAUUAUGAAAGCAACUAUGAUCAUGAGAACUUGAAGCUAUUUGUUGACUAAAUUGUCAAUUGUUUUGCGUGAAUUGAAACUGGCAGUGUGAUGACAUUACUGUAGAUGCUUUGCUAUAUACAUUUGCCUAAUUCUCUCUCUCUCUAAUAUGUCCUCUUUUGUGAAGAUCCUUUGCAGAUCAAUUGGUGAGGCCGAAUGCUAAGCAUUGUUUCACAUUCAGGUUUGCUAUCAAACUCUCAAAAAGAAAAAACAACUUUACUCUGUUUUUUGGAGAACCUUCCUGUAGAGUACAUCGACAGAGACAAAUAUGCGAUCAAGGAUAUAUUCGAUGGAUUUUUACGCAAAAUUUGGAGGAUAUUUUUGCAGGUUCGUUGCUUGCUUUAUUGUUCUCUUACUUUCCGUUGUUCAAGACAAUAUCUUCCUAGCAUUGCUCUAUAAAUUUAAAUCCAUAUUUUUGUUCUUUGGAUCAUCAUGGCGUACUCGUCCUGUCUAAUCCAAGAAAGGGCCUUCAUGUUUGCAGAUAGUUUGGUGCUCUCAUGGUUAUUUUGUAGUGAUUUUCCUUAUGUUCAUUACUUGGUAACCAUCUAUGGCAGCUCAGCUAUUGUCCAGCUGCUGACCUUGGUGAGUGAUUGAUGGUGCAUGUUUUUCUUUUAGUUUCUCUCUAUGCCAAUGUAUGAAUUUUAUCUUGCCGUUUUGCAUUUCUCCAGGCCUUUCAAUCUCACUGUGAUUCCCCGAGAUGCGCUAUUAGUAGGCAUCCACUUUGUAACAAAAAUUUGGCAGUCAACCUGAAACGAGUCAUUUAUCUAGCCACAGCAACCUUCCUUGCUUUUGCAAAUAAUACUGUAUGGUUGACACUAUAGUCUAUACCUGCCAAAUAUUUACACGUUAGUAUAGCCAGAAAGUCAGAUGAUCAUUCCAUGUUGGUUAGCCGUGAUAAAUCAAAUUUCUAGAGUAGCAGAUGGUUCGUGUCAGGUUUCUUUUAGAGAUUGAAAUAUGUCUUGACUCUGAAAUUAGUAGUACAGCGUCCAGUUCUCCAUAGGUGAAAGCAUACUAUGCAAAACUGGACGGCCUUCUAAAGCUCUGAAACUACUAUUUGCUGUAAAUCUGUAUCCCCUUUUCAUACUUUGUAUAUGCUUUCUACUUACUAGGAAAAAAAUGCGUGAGAACGAUGGCCUAGAGGAUGUGAAUUGCACUCAAAUAUAUGCAGGUUUCUUGCCAAACUAACUGCCACUAUUGUAUUUCAGGUGCUUCUUCUGUAACUUAGUGUAUUUUGCUGGCUCGUCUCAUUUCCUGGCGAACUUUGUAGUAUGUACAGUUGAAUCAUUGGAAGUUGUUUUCUACUAUCUAUAGAGGUUUUAUCCAAACUAUUAGCUGCCUGACUUGCUUUUUUGAAAUAUACCAACCUGAUAGACCAAGUGGACCAACACAUUUCCAUGGGAUUUUAGAAAAAUAUAUGUGAAUUUGCAUACAUUUUCUAAAUUUCUAUCUUUUCUUAUCCAUGCUUCCCCAUAGAUAUAUAGCAGGCUCAACAAAAAUAUAUGUCCGCUUAUGUUCAAAUUUCAAGGAAGUGUGCUUCACACUUCUCUUUCUGCAAUAUGUUUCAGAGUAUAUGAUUUAAUUUUCCUACUUUUCCAGUUAAAAUACUGUGUACUUCAUUCUUAGCUUUGCUUUAGGAAAAAUAGGUAUGCAGGUUAUCGAAAGCUCCAUUUUUCACCAUUAUAUAGAUUAUGUAGCUUUGUGGUCGAAGGUAGGUUGUCACAUAUGGGAUGUUGCUUGUGAAAGUCAUAUACAGCCAUGAGUCCCUGACAAAAUAAUCGCAGCUCAUAUUCUUAGGAUCAGGGAACCUCGACCAUUUUUCUGAAACAUGUCGCAGCUCAUGUUCCUACUUUCCCAGCUAUAGUAUGUACUUCAUUCUUACCUUUGCUUUUGGAAGUUACAUUGCUUUCUUUUCCCUCAUAUAAACUUGCUAACGAUAUUGGCGAAGUAAUCCCCACUUCAGAUUUCCCAUUGAAUGAAUAACUAAUUUAGUUUGUUCAAAAAUUGUAGGUCAAGAGCCAUGAAUAGGAGCAAGGCAUCACACUCCAGCUCUGAGAAGAAAAGGAUAUAAAGACAAAGAUAUCAGUGUUCUGCUCCGAAGCAAAAACAUUUUGCAUGUAAUAAUGAGUUGUAAUUUACCACAAUCUCUAAAACAGGCCUACCUACUUGCUUUUGUAUUAGGAAGUAUGACUCAGUCAUAUAUAUUUACAUUCAUGUUGUUUAGUUAUGGCUUGUAUGCAUGAAAAUACCUUUUUAAAUGAGCUUGAAAAUUCUUAUGUACAGUGAAAUUGUAUCUAGCACUUUGUGAAGAACGAAUGAAACGCAUUUCAAAUAA